UUAGGCCGGGAACUCAAAGGAGACUGCCAGUGAUAAACUGGAGGAAGGUGGGGAUGACGUCAAGUCAUCAUGGCCCUUACGACCAGGGCUACACACGUGCUACAAUGGCGUAUACAAAGAGAAGCGACCUCGCGAGAGCAAGCGGACCUCAUAAAGUGCGUCGUAGUCCGGAUUGGAGUCUGCAACUCGACUCCAUGAAGUCGGAAUCGCUAGUAAUCGUGGAUCAGAAUGCCACGGUGAAUACGUUCCCGGGCCUUGUACACACCGCCCGUCACACCAUGGGAGUGGGUUGCAAAAGAAGUAGGUAGCUUAACCUUCGGGAGGGCGCUUACCACUUUGUGAUUCAUGACUGGGGUGAAGUCGUAACAAGGUAACCGUAGGGGAACCUGCGGUUGGAUCACCUCCUUACCUUAAAGAA
rnacentral:rRNA from 1 species